UUCUGCUUGUAGUUUGAAACAGGAAGCAUAUAAUUAUUAUCAGGGUACGCUUCCCAUUUACAACAGCAAAGUAUUAGUAUAUUCCACAGUCAGUAACCAUGCUUCUGACAAGCUCUAAGUUUCUGAGAGCAUUUCUGCUGGUCGUGAUUUUUCACUUAGUUACUGCCGACAAUCCCGACUGUAAUGUACUGGCCGAAAAUUAUACAGCGACCUUCAGUUCGAAUAGUCCAGGGCCUCUCGUGUCCUUCGAUGAAACAACGCCUGCUGCAUGCGUUCAUGUGCGAGCCGGACAACACCACUGAUGUGGCACCUCUUAUCAACGAUUUCUGUUCACAGAAAUCUUGGGCACACUCCGGACGUCCUUCUGGCGAUAGCUACCUUAUGUGAAACCGGUGACCUUUCCAAAUACAUCAGGGCGAUUACACCGUGCGUACGGAAAGCACAGCCAGUGAUGUUCUCAGGAAUGCGCCCAAGAGAAGAAUGGGAGCUACCAGUAGACAAGUGGAUCUCCGAUAUAAAAUCUGUCACUGAAUCCUGCCAACAGUGCAGCUCUCCCUUCGUGUUUUUGGUCAACAGACCGUUUCUUUGCCGGUAAACACACCAACUGGGGAGGCAUCGCAAAUUAUAUUGUUUUAUAGACUAUUGUUGUACACAUCAGCACAAGUUCACAGCUGCCCGGACGUGCACCGCAGCGCACUGUUAUCCAGUGAGCACUAUAUUGUACAUGCGAAGCGGUUUUAAUUUUCUAUCACAAUUCGCAAUACUGAAUAUGAGCCGAACUCUGAACAGAGGAGGGUUGUAUUGCAGGUUUUUACAGAGCGUGCUGGCAUAUGCCAAUGGCAAACAGGGUAGAACUGUGUUGGAGACCUGUGGACAAGAGGCGCUGGAUGUAUUCUUGGAACUGUGCGAGAAAUCGCUGUCAGCGCUUCACUGCGCUGAAUUUGGAAAUAAUGUUAGAACAUUUAAAUUCAUGAAAGUGACGUAUCAGGACGGCAAGGUGAUAGGUUAACGACAAGGAAAUCAGCUAUAAUAGUGCGGACGCAUGUUCACUUUUAAAACCGCUGCGACAUUAUUGCAUGAUAAACGUCUAAUCCUUAUCCUGUCGGCAUCACGGAAAAGCAAAGCAAUACCAGAACCGUGUACCAGAAAUAUCGAGUAGACAUUAAACUUUAGACACUAUUUACGCUCCCGGCUACUUUAAUAACUUUAAUGGCAAUAGCCACCCAAAUAGCAAUAACUGCAAGCGCUGGUACGCUUUAAUAAGAUAAUUUACCCUACUUGCUGCACUAACAAGUCUCUUUUGGUUUGUAUACGGCUGUCGUACGGGUAGUACCAGUUUUAUCAGAAAAAUAAACUGGCUGAUAGUACGAGUAAUUAAUUAUCAGCUAAUACCCAAAAUUGUGGCUCAUAGGUCGUAGGAGUCAUAACAUCUGAUUUUUCGGCAUCCAUGUUUAGUCGGAAUGUACCAAAACCGCAAUAUAAACAUUAUGCGCAAAUGAUUGCUGGGUAUUUCGUAUCUUUGAGCGACGGCAAAAGUACUCUGGCCAUUUACAGUCAAAUUUCCCGCUAGAUCGUAAUAAUUAUUAUUUUACCAUGGAUGUGCAGAAGGUCGGAAGCCGAAAAAGAUAGCUUUUAAUCAGUAAUCAAUCUCCAUGCACGACGCAAAAAUAAUAGGGUAGUUAUUCUGUACGAUAUUUAACGAAUAUUGUGAGGGACAGAGACUGCGUACGAGGAUGGCUCACGAAGAAUACCUUCACUUCGGUGGACAGAGCAACGACUUACUCAGUGAUGCCGAUCUGGGUGCACAGCACAGCUAUUUCACGAGGUUCUCCUUUCUAUUUUUCGCAUUUCUGUUCUACCGACGAGCUAGUACGCACUAUUGUGCCGGAAGAUUGCCCCGACGAGCGGUCUGUCGUUGAGCUGUGCUGGGAAGAACGUACAGGAAAGAGUGCACCUGCGAUGGAAGACCGGAGCAACCAACGCUUGUGGUCGGAUAUGCUGACUGCCGGGAAACUGGAAGCCUUAAAAGAGAGCGCCGACGUUAUUGCCUCUGCUCGUCUGUUGGCUGCCUCUGCUAAGGAUGCCAGUGCCUGGUUGUUUGCAUUGCCGGUCGCCAGCCUUGGCACACUGCUGGACGAUGCCGGUCUGCGGAUCGCUGUUGCUUUGCGGAUGGGGGCGCCUAUUUGUAAAGAGCAUAAAUGUCGGUGUGGUGAAAUGGUUGAUACAUGCGGCUUACAUGGAUUGUCGUGCGUCAAAAGCCAAGGAAGGUUCAGGAGGCAUGCGAGUCUGAAUAGCGUGAUUCAGCGUAGCCUGGGAUCAUCAAAGGUGCCGUCAAUCUUGGAGCCUCCCGGACUGUGCAGACUGGACGGGAAGCGGCCAGACGGCUUAUCACUCUUCCCAUGGAGAAAUGGCCUCCCUCUGAUAUGGGAUGUAACAGUUUGUGACACAUUCGCUACUUCGUAUAUAGCUGGCUGUUCAGAAACAGCGGGAUCGGCUGCUGAAGACGCGGAAGUGCGGAAGCGGAACCUAUAUUCCGAACUCACUGAUCGGCAUUUUUUCCAGCCAGUGGCACUCGAAACUAUGGGAAGUUGUAGCGAAAGUACCCACCAGUUCAUCAAUGAAGUCGGCCGGCGUAUCAAAGAACAAACGGGAGAAGCGCGCGCUGUUCAGUAUUUGUGGCAACGUAUAAGUGUGAAAAUUCAGCGCGGAAACGCGGCUUCUGUCCUGGGGACGGUCGGGUGUUCUCGAGAGUUAGAAGAGUUAUUUUUCUUGUUCUGAUUAUUGGGUAUUUAAAGUUUUAACGUAAAUGGCAUUGGCUUGUACAAGUUGAGAAUAUGCAGGUGGAAUGGUGUGGUAGCGAAUUAAGAUAAAGAAACGGAGGGUGUGAGGCUGGUCACUGUAAUAAUGAAAUAUUAUGCCGCCACGCCACGUGAUGGCAGGGCAGAUGCCAUUUCAAAAUGGGAUCGUAGACAAACCGUUUUUCGAUAAUUCCAAGCCGCUGCUUUUUAUCAAGCAUUUUGGCGUUCGCACAGCAGCAGCAGCGCUUUUUCGCAUACUUCUACUGAAGCUCCACCAUUUGUGACCUAGAGCCCUGACCGGUUUACAAAACAAAAGAUUAAAAUUAAGGGAGCAUUUAAACCAUCCAACGGCAGAGUGGACUUUCCUGGAUUUACCGCAACGGUUGGAGAACGAUUAUAGCAGUUGUCAGUUAGUUAUUUGCGAUUAAUGGGAAAAUGAGGCGACCUUUGCUACCCGUCAACAGGACUUUACUUCGUUGUCUUCGAUGUUAAGUUGCGAUAGUUUAUUGUGACACAUCAAUGCCUGCUUUUCGUUGACUUAAAGACAUCAAAACAUCUUCGGCCAAAGAAAUUAUCUGUAAGGCCAGGCGAGAUUUCUGCUUGUACUUUUAAUGUGAAUGUAACCGGCAUUCUGAGAUUGGGUUUCCAGUUUCCAAUUUUCGUAUUCCGCAGCCGGUAAUCAGUCAUGCUGUUAACAAACUCAAAGUUUAUAGGAGCCAUUCUUUUGGUCGUGACUGCAUUACAAUUUAUUACGGCCGAUAAUACCGACUGUGAUGUAUUGGCCAAAAAUUACACAGCGGCCCUGGACACCUUAAGUUCAAAUUACUCCAUGGUGCUGGGCUUGACGUGUCCAUCAACUAAGCAAAGUCUCCUCCAUGCCUUCUUGUGCGAGCCGGACAACUCCACCGAUGCUGCUCCUCUUUUCAGCGAUUUCUGUUCAAUGGUUCGCUCGACGGGACAGCUGGGUACGGAGUUUUCCCGGCAGUGUUCCAGCAACAGCAUCGAGAGAUCCGUUACGUAUACUCCGGAUGUCCUUCUGGCGUUGGCUAGUUUGUGUCAAACCGGUGACCUUGCCAAGUACAUAAGGGCCGUGACACCCUGCAUACGGAAAAGAGAAGACGAAAUCGGCUUACCGUGGAUCCUGAGCCCGGCACAGGAGUGGGGCCGCGAUAUGAUGUCUGUCACUGAAUCUUGCAUGUGUUUUCCUAAUAUGUUCAGGGUCAACAGACCAUUUCUCUGCCGGUUUCUACAAGGUGUGCUGGCAUACACCAACGGCGACAAGGGUAGAACUGUUGUGGAGGCAUGUGGACAAGAAGCGCUGGAUGGCUUCUUGGAACUGCGCGAGAAAGCAUUGCUGGCUCUUAACUGCGCCGAAUUUGGUGAUUAUGUUAGAACAUAUAAAUACAUGAAUGUCAAGUAUCAGGACGGCAAGAUGAUCGAUUAACGAAACGGAAAGCAGUCUUAAAUAAUAGUGGUGUUCCAUAGCUUCAGCACCUGAAUAUUAGUAAUCCCAAAUAAUGUAUCCUGGUUUAAUGGUCUUUGUUCUGCUUUUGCUUUUUGGUACGCUACGCCGCCAGUGAUUUACCGGAAUAAAUUAUAGCGUAAAGC